UACAGAGGGGGCAAGCGUUAUUCGGAAUUAUUGGGCGUAAAGGGCGCGUAGGCGGCUUUUCAAGUGACGGGUGAAAUCCCUCGGCUUAACCGAGGAACUGCCUGUCAGACUGGAAGGCUUGAGACCGGGAGAGGUGAGUGGAAUUCCCAGUGUAGCGGUGAAAUGCGUAGAUAUUGGGAGGAACACCAGUGGCGAAGGCGGCCACCUGGACUGUACCUGACGCUCAAACGCGAAAGCUAGGGGAGCGAACGGG
rnacentral:rRNA from 1 species